UGACAAAUUCAUUACUCUAUUGUAUUCACGCCCGUCUUUUGUUUCUUCUUUCAAAUCUACUCUUCACGGAUAUCUGUUUAAAAACUGCAUAUUAUUUAAUUUCAACAGUUUAUUUCUUUGUACAAUAUCUUAAAUCCAAGAAAUAAACAAUUUUAAAGUACAAUUCUAUUGUAGUUACAAACUCACUUUAUAGCGAGUUGUAAUUACAAUAAAGAAUUUAAAAGCGUACAUCUUUUAUGCAACCAGUAUAAAGUGAUAAAUUUCUCUUGAUAGAGUCGCAAAUUUUAAAACUACUUAACCCUUGUACGUAUAUAUAAGUUUUGUUACAAUAUCUAAAUUUAAAAGAUUUGUUAUUAAUAAAAGGUUUAAAUAACUAUAUAUCUCGCGAACGAUUCAACUAUAAACGAAAGAAAAAUCACUACAAACAAAACUAUAAACGAUUCUGAAUCGAGUCCCACAAAUUGAUUUGAGGUAUCUUUAAAAUUCAACAUUCAUUAUUAAUUAAUUGUUUAAAUGAUUAUAUAUCGCGAACGAUUGAUUGGAAGCGGGCAUUGUACAUAUUUUAUGUAACCAGCAUAAAGUAUUAAAAAACUUUUGAUAGAGUUGCAAAAUGGCGACGAUGCGCCACCUUGUCGUGGUGAGGGGGCUCGCCAGUAUGUCGAAAUAUUGGCGUUAAGAGCAGGGCCAUAACAUCGUAUUGUAUUCUAACAUUAAUAAUUAAUCGUUUAUCGAGAGGAAUAGUGUCUUUUCCUUUCCGGCUGCGUCCGCGAGUGAGAAUAAUGAGCGAUUGUGCCGGGAGAGUGCAACAAUAAUACAUAAAUUAAAAAUUUAUCCCUUGGUGUGUUACUCCGAGCAACAUCCGCUAAACAGGGAGGAUGCCUUUCAAAUAAGAAGGAAGUGCCCGUUUCUCAGGAUUCUGGCUACUGCACGAGGACGAGCCCUUCAACCACGACACGGUGGCCCAACCUCGGAGUGCAACUCGCUACCGCGCGAGGAUAUUUAUUUUGCACGAGGAUGGUGGGUUGUUUUGAUAAAUGAAAAACCAAAAAAGGAAAACGAAAAGGUACAGAGCUAAAGUAAAAAAAAGAGGAAAAGGUACAGAGCUAAAGUGAAAAAAAAGGAAGAUACAGAGGGUCAAAGUAAAAAAAAGAAAAUAUACAGAGCAUCAACGUUACCGUAUGGGUGACUCACACUCAAUGUAUUAACAACGGGUUAAUUUUAGAUAAUUAGAUAUCUAGAUAUAGAUUAGAUUAAUUAGAUUUAAUUAGAAAGAUUAUAUAAUUUAUAUUUGUAGAUUAAUAAGUGAUGGUGGAAAGCAAGCAGUAUAUAAUUAAACGAUCAAGACAACUGUACAAUAAUAGGAAACUUACAUAAAGCAUUACAUUAACUGAUCUGAAAGUAUUAGGAUAUAAUUCUGGUGCACUUGAGAGAUUCGAUGAAAGUUUUCAAAGGUUCUCAGGUAAGAAUAAUAUAAAAAAUAUUUAUUUUAAUAGAAAAUAAAUUUCUUUUAAGAUUAAAAGCAAGUAAUAUUCCUUUAUUAUAUGUUUUUUAUAUAUUUUAUACGUAUUAGUUGAAACACUAAAAAUGUACGCACAACUAAUAUCGGAAAAGAAACUUUUACCAUACCAAUUUUCGUUGACAAUCAUGGAAAAAAAA
rnacentral:lncRNA from 1 species